CAUCACUGCCUCUUUAAGCUAUCCUAUUCUAUACAGUCUUUCUACAGGUUUCCAAUGAGUACCAGUUCACCCAUCUCACUGAUUUCCAGACAAGAAAAAACAUCCUAAUUUUAAAACCUGGAUGACUAACUGACUAAGUCGUCGGGAACGUGAGGCAGGUUCUGGAUCUGUUCUGUGCAGUGACCACUUCACAGAGGAUAAUUUUGACCGCACUGGUCAAAUUGUCCAGUUGAGGGAUGGUGCUAUGCCCACCCUUUUUAAUAUUCCAGCACAUCUUCAGCUUCCAAGACUAAAUGAAAGAAAAACUGAAAAUUCGUUGAAGGUGAGAGAGUACACAAGGGCCACAAAAGAUUUUCAAGAAGAAACUGUCCGAAGCAUGAAACCUGAUGAACAUAUA